AUGUAAUGAAAUGCCUACAAUGUUAAUGCAUUAGAUCCCAUUAGAACUUUGCAAUUAAGCAUGCUUGGGCUAGAGUAGUAUUGGGAUAGGUGACCUCCCAAGAAAUCCUAGUGUUUUAUAUG
rnacentral:rRNA from 1 species